UCGGGCCAGGCGCCAAGCGACCGUCCGAUGGCAACGGUGUGCUGGUCCCUCGAUGAGCAGAAGGCGGGGCGUCCGAGGCGGCCCCAGGGCAGACGCAGAGGGACGCACAGAUGGAGAGGACACGGGUGCGUCUGCGGGGAGAGCAAGUCGCUGUUCUCGCUUGAGUGAUUACGAGCAUGGAGGGAGCUGAUUGUGCCCGGGGCGGUGUCCGUGGGCGCGGGGCCCUGGGGGCCUGUUUCCGCCACCCCCGUGCCACUUCAUCUGGAGUAGUCCGCUGGGUCCAGAGCAGAAAGUGACCUCACACGUGAGCCCGUCUCUGUCCUGUGCCACGUUCUGGGGGCUUAACCCACGCACCUCCCUCUCUGGACGCCAGAGCCUGAGCCCCAGGCAUCGGCAGGGCUGUGCUCCCCGGAAGGUUCCAGGGCGGGUCCUGCCUGCCUGUCGCGGCUGUGGCCGGUUACCCGGACUCCUCCGUGUUCCGUGGCUUGUGGCACGUCACCCCAGGCUCUGUCACAUGGCCUUCUCCGUGUGUGUCUGCGGGUCCUCUGCUCACGAAGACGCCAGCCGUUGGGGUGAGGGCCCCCUCUAAUCCCUUAUGACCACAUCUUAACUUGGUUACAUCUACAAAGACCUUAUUUCCAAAUAAAGGCACGAUAUGCUGUUUCAGGUGCACAUGAACUUUGGGGGAACCCUAUUCAACCCAGUCCACUGUCCCACGAUCCCACACGACGGAUGAGGAACCUGAUCUAAAGGGUGUCUCCCCCCGCACCCCGCCCCCCCAGUGCCCAGCUUCCCUAGACGCUCUGGGCCUCCCGUGCUUGCCACUGAGCAUGCAAAACUCUCGGGCCCCACUUCUGGCUGGCUGGGGUCCCCCCUCUGGGGUCCAUCCUCCCUCUCCCUCCAGUUUACAGAUAGACUGUGAAGUGGAUAAACUGGGAUGCAGUAGGUGGUGUGUGCUGGCUCUUAUCUAAUAAAAGGUAAAAGUAUGAA